UACGGGGGGGGCAAGCGUUGUUCGGAAUUACUGGGCGUAAAGGGCUCGUAGGUGGCCAACUAAGUCAGACGUGAAAUCCCUCGGCUUAACCGGGGAACUGCGUCUGAUACUGGAUGGCUUGAGUUCGGGAGAGGGAUGCGGAAUUCCAGGUGUAGCGGUGAAGUGCGUAGAUAUCUGGAGGAACACCGGUGGCGAAGGCGGCAUCCUGGACCAACACUGACGCUGAUGAGCGAAAGCCAGGGGAGCAAACGGG
rnacentral:rRNA from 1 species